GUUGUAUGGUUAAGUGACUAAGCGUACACGGUGGAUGCCUUGGCAGUCAGAGGCGAUGAAGGACGUAGUAACUUGCGAUAAGCGUAGAUGAGGCAG
rnacentral:rRNA from 1 species